rnacentral:lncRNA from 1 species
ACCAAUUUUCCAAAAGCUUAGUAUACAUAUAACCAAAAGUCAACUUACAUAACAAGAGUUGAACUUAUAGGUUUAAACUUACAGGAGUCAAAAGUAAGGUCUACUUAAGUAAAAGGUUACACUCUCAAAUACAAGUCCAAAACAAUGUACAGCUAAGAAAGCUCUCGAUCAAAUCCAUCCCUGAUCUGUUAAGGAAAACAAAGGAAGUGGGGUGAGCUAAUGCCCAAUGAGGUUUCAAGUAAAACGAUUAAACACAGCCAAAUAAGGUCACAAAAUAAUCAAAUAAACUCUGUACAGUAAGACUCUAAUUUAAUCACAGCUCAAUUAAAGGAUACGGAUGGCUUUCAAAAGGCAAUAACCACUGGAGCUUGAUCAUAACUGGAUCCGUUGACUCUCCGUCAACGUUUGUAUUCAUAAAAUGCAAGUCCGUAGAACACCGCUUUCACCAAUCUCCGUUCACCAAUCAACCCCCUACCGGGCCCGCACGCCACAAACAAUAGUUUGGUAAUACUCGAGUAUACCAGGAAUCCAAGAUUCCAAAGAAACAGGAUCAAAUUGAGGAUUUUACCACUGCUGGUGUUGGGCAACACGACAAGCAAGCUCAACGGCUAUACUUCACCAGGGAGCUCCAAACAUCAGUCCCCAAGAUUUAUCGGCCUUCUCGACCAAGCCCUUGUUGGCUCGAUACAACCGACUCACCUAAGAGGUUGGGCACUCAAACAGUACAAACAGUAGCAGUAGUUGAUGGGAUAUCACCUAAAUAACUCAAACACAGUCAUGUAUAUAGCGAAAUCUCAUCUCAUAAUAAUAGUAUACAGAGGCUCAUUGGAAAACAAGGGAGGUCGAGUGCGAUAAAGUACACGCUUGCCUCCAUUUUAUCAAAACAGUAUUUGGCUCGAACAGUCAUAAAUCAAUUAUUUCAGAUAUUCAGAUAUUUCACAUAAUGGGUAGCAGGUAGUGGAACACUCACCAAAGAUGUAGUGCCUUACGGAUCACGGUCAGGUAUUACUCCUUGUGUGGAGUUCAACUCUGUGAUAAAACGUCAUUUAAGAACUUGAAAUCAAUUAGGGUUCAAGUUUCUUUUAAAGAAAAUCAAGUAAUUGAAACUCAUUUUGGGAAUAUUUGUAAAAGUCAUGCUCGUUCUUAAAACUUUGAAACUUUGAAGCGAUUAAACUUUGAAAUUCCCAUUUGAGUCGAAGAGAGGAGGAAAACGUAUUUCUAUUAGUCGUUACUUUCAUUUUUCCAAGGUUACAAGGUUUGGCCGAAUUCUAACUUAUAUACCUCUAUGAGCGAAGACUUGAAUACCCUAGACGAUUCGAGUUCAAUUCGACCUCAAAAUCUUCGCUCAAACUGCGAGUAUACACGUCUCACCUUCGAGUGAAAAUUUGGGCAGUAUACCCCUUUGUAUUUAGCUAUUUUCCAGUCAUUUAUGGCUUCAUUAUUUUUCUCAAUUCAGCCUUAAAAUCACACACAAAUAAUCUUACCACAAUAGCCUAAUAGCCUUUCACUAGGCUCAAUGUCAUCCACACACAAGACAAUUUUAGCAUGUAAGCUUCACUUGGAAAUUUGAAAAUGGUGGCUAAAAGCUAAGUACAAGUCUUGACUGCUUUAAUUAAGGUAACUUGUUAAAAGAGUAAAACUUUGAGGAAAUGAGAGAUACAUUAGCGAGAGAAGUUCAAUAGGGAUAUAUUUGAUGCCAAGGAAGUGGAAAAAUCAAGGUGAGAGGUUGGAAGUAGGCCGUCUAAGGUUUUAAAGUCAAGAAGCCCGUUUCUAUUCUUCAGGAAUCUACGGAGAUGAAUAGUAACAGUAAAUUUUAAAAAUUUGCAACUCGAGUUCCACAAAUCAAACAAUUAUGAAAGUUAUACUGUUGGAAAAUAGAAUUUUAGUACUAUCACAUCCCAGAAGACACUUUUCAGAGAUUCAAAUCACAAAUAGGCCAAAGAUUCAAUCCAAGUCAAAAAUUCAUUUUUCUGAAGAAACAGGACAUUCAAGCAGGACAGCCUACUUUGAGGAGUCACGGACAGCAGUACACAUCGACGAAAAAUAUGAAAUUUUUACAGAACAAAGGCCUAUGACUCUAGUUUCAAAUUCCACUGACGGCACCUCAAUCGGAUUUUCCUACACCGAGAUAUAAGCAUUUUACUGAGACUGGUCAGUGAAAUCCGAAAAUCUGGAAACUCAUUUGUCACUUGUGAAAAACUCUUUUUUCUCUUUUAAAACCACAAAGACUUUUAUUCAAACCACCCAUACAUUUAAGUAUGACAUUCAUACCAGCAAUUUUAACAGAAACCAAAGAAAUAUACAUAUAUUCCAAGUUUAAAGUCUUGUAAGAUGUUUAGACUAAAAUUAAAUCAUUUUCUAUCCAAUAUUCAAGGAUUAAGGCAAAUGAACUCUUCAUUUGUUCCAUUUAAGCUAAACCAGAUUCUAAGUUGUUUGUAGUUUGGGUUUUGUUCCAUUACACCAGCCCCUCACAUUAAUAGUCUUUAAAAUAGUAAUGAACACAAUAUUAAAUCAUUAGAAGCCACUUUACGUAUAUAACUAUCGUAACUUUCCACUCAAUCGCGUUAGUUUAACCCUACUCGUGGAACUAGGUAUAUCCAUUAAAUCUGAGAACAAUCGUAGCUAUCAUUUAUGAAAACUUGCAAGAUUGGAAAUUAGAAGAAAUGUUAGUUAAAAGUUGGUUUCCUCACGGCCAUCAUCAAAGCUGCAUGCAUGUGAAACAAAAGGAAAGGCAACGAGGAAGUCAGCUUUGCCAUCCUCUGGUAUUUCAAUCAUAACUAGAGCUAUACUUAUCAGAUUGAGGCAAACUUUAUAGUGUUUCGAAGCUAAGAUAAAGAGCUACAUUUCUUAUGAAGACACCAACACCCAGUUCUCAUAAUUUCAGGGUCAAAAAUGGCCGGACAGAAACACAUCCUGCUUCACUCUCUCGGACAGCAACCACAAAAUUAAUCCAGUACCGUUACUUCAACUUUUGUCAAAAACUCUUUUCUUUCACUUGCUUAAAGCUCUAAAUACUUAAGGUAUAUUCAGUCCAGCAUAUACAAGGUGAGUAACUCAUAAUUUCAGCAUGUUGUUCGGCCAAAAUCACACACAAAAUCUGUCAUCAGCUGUUGCAUCAUUCAACGAAGUUUUCCAGCAGUAUAACAGUUCAACUUUGAUGUUUUCUCAAAUAUUUCCUUUCAGGUUCAUGCUCCAACUAGAAGUAUAAAACAUAUCUUAUCAAGCUACAAAGUAGCCUUAAACAGAACAUAUGAGGUUUACAACUAAAAUUCAAAGGAAGAUUGAUUAAAAGUCCUUUUCUCUCUCUCUCAGCCUUCCUAGCAGGUUUCAUCAGCUUUAAUCAAAAUUUCGCCAUUAGUUUUCCAUUAUGCUCUCAAAUCUAACUUGUAAUCAUAUUAAACAUUAGACAGAUCAUAAUACGUGAGUUCCAGUCACAAUUUAGUAAACCUUUUAGAGAAAUAACCAAAAUUGCAGCUUUUCCCUCUCGAUUUGCUGUGCAGAAAAUUCCAGCUUUUGAGAUUGCUUUAAAGUCAAUCUUUUCUUGCUUUUAGCUCCUCAAAUAACACAUGGAUGACUGGAUUAGGAAGAUGGCAGUUAUAUGAAGUGAGUUUUUGACUAAACUAACAAAAUUUUCUAGAGAUAAAGCUGGAAAUUUCCAGCUUCAUCUUAUUGAUCCUUCAUGUAGUGUCCAAAUAGAAAUUCAGCCAAGUUUCUUCAUAUUUUACAUUCAUUCCACUUGAGUUCAGGUCAAGUACUGCACCCAUGUCAAGAUAUGUAUACUAUGGAAUAUAUAUAAUGCAUGAAGACAUAAUCUAACACAUUUUGAAGGAGAAAUGACUUGAAAAUUGCAGCUUUUAUCAUCGGGUGGCAUGCAAUAGCUUUGAACAGAAUUUUCCAGCUUUGAAGAACUUUUAUCGGUGAAUUCCUUCCUUUCUCAGUUCUAGUUCAUCCAAGGAAUUAUUAACCAGGCAUAGCAGGAAAAUGAAGAAGAGCUUAAUUAAUUACCUAUUGUCUCUUCACGGUUUAGACUGGAACAAGAUUUCUGGUUUUCUUUUGUUUCCCUCUCUCGAUUCCUUGGUUAAAUGAGCUGGAGUUUCUCUUGUUUCUUGGCUGGUGUUCAUGGUUGGAGAAGGUAAGAGGGGUCUCUGUUUUUCCUUCUUGUUGUUUCUCGAUUUUAGGCAACAGGGGAAGUGAAUGGAACCCUCUCGGUCACCGCCCAACUAGUGCACAAAUGAAUUUCUUAGUUCCUCUCAUUCGGUCAUCACCUCACGUAGCAAAUAAAUGGGCAGCUGUCUU